rnacentral:rRNA from 1 species
UCGAGCGAAUCUGAGGGAGCUUGCUCCCAAAGAUUAGCGGCGGACGGGUGAGUAACACGUGGGCAACCUGCCUGUAAGACUGGGAUAACUUCGGGAAACCGGAGCUAAUACCGGAUAAUUCUUUUCCUCACAUGAGGAAAAGUUGAAAGACGGCGUAAGCUGUCACUUACAGAUGGGCCCGCGGCGCAUUAGCUAGUUGGUGAGGUAACGGCUCACCAAGGCAACGAUGCGUAGCCGACCUGAGAGGGUGAUCGGCCACAUUGGGACUGAGACACGGCCCAAACUCCUACGGGAGGCAGCAGUAGGGAAUCUUCCGCAAUGGACGAAAGUCUGACGGAGCAACGCCGCGUGAGUGAUGAAGGUUUUCGGAUCGUAAAACUCUGUUGUUAGGGAAGAACAAGUACUGGAGCAACUGCCGGUACCUUGACGGUACCUAACCAGAAAGCCACGGCUAACUACGUGCCAGCAGCCGCGGUAAUACGUAGGUGGCAAGCGUUGUCCGGAAUUAUUGGGCGUAAAGCGCGCGCAGGCGGUCCUUUAAGUCUGAUGUGAAAUCUCGCGGCUCAACCGCGAGCGGUCAUUGGAAACUGGGGGACUUGAGUGCAGAAGAGGAAAGCGGAAUUCCACGUGUAGUGGUGAAAUGCGUAGAGAUGUGGAGGAACACCAGUGGCGAAGGCGGCUUUCUGGUCUGUAACUGACGCUGAGGCGCGAAAGCGUGGGGAGCAAACAGGAUUAGAUACCCUGGUAGUCCACGCCGUAAACGAUGAGUGCUAAGUGUUAGAGGGUUUCCGC